AAAAAAAGCUUUUUUGGAUCAACAAAACCCUAACCCUAGAAACAAGCGCGCGAGAGCGUCACAGAAAGGGGGAGAAAGCGAUUUAGGGGGAGCGAGAUGAGGGCCAAGGUGAGAUUUUGAUCGUCCCCAACCUCUCAAAACCCUCUCAAUUGUGGAAGAAGAAGCGGAUGAGGAGACUGAAGCGGAAGCGCCGAAAGAUGAGGCAGAGAUCGAAGUAGUUUGAAGGCAUUCUUCUCUAUCCCUCCAUCUACUGCUUUGUUUUGCUGUUCUUAGAAGUUAGUCAUUUUGCUUGGUAUGUGUUGAUCUCCUUUUGCUUUGUUGACUUAAGUUAUGUUGCUGUGGCGCUUAUAAUUUGGAUUCAGUUCCUUUUAUCUUAAAUUGCACACUUUGUGUUUGAAUUCGUCUUUGAUUCUCCUAUUAGGUGGAAGUUUUUAGUUUGUGUUCGUUCUCUGGUUUUUUGUGGAUAAAA